rnacentral:rRNA from 1 species
AACGAACGCUAGCGGCAUGCUUCAAACAUGCAAGUCGUACGAGAAAGUCCCUUCGGGGGCGAGUAAAGUGGCGCACGGGUGAGUAACACGUAGCUAACGUACCCUUUCGCUGGGGAUAACCUCGGGAAACCGAGGCUAAUACCGAAUAAUCUGACAGAGCCUGCGGGCUUUGUCGGUAAAGCCGUAAGGCGCGAAAGGAUCGGGCUGCGCUCCAUUAGCUAGUUGGUGAGGUAAUGGCUUACCAAGGCGAUGAUAGGUAGGCGGCCUUAACGGGUGGUCGCCCACACUGGGAUUGAGAGACGGCCCAGACUCCUACGGGAGGCAGCAGUCGAGAAUAGUCUACAAUGGACGGAAGUCUGAUAGUGCGACGCCGCGUGAACGAAGAAUCCCUUCGGGGUGUAAAGUUCUUUUAUACGUGAGCAGUGCCCUUUAUAUGAAUAGUAUAGAGGGAGGGAUUUAAGCGUAUGAAUAAGCAACGGCUAACUCCGUGCCAGCAGCCGCGGUAAAACGUAGCGU